ensembl:snRNA Rnu6-28 RNA, U6 small nuclear 28
GUGCUCACUUCGGCAGCAUAUAUACUAAAAUAGGAACAAUACAGAGAAGAUUAGCAUGACCCCUGCAUAAGGAUGACACACAAAUUCAUGAAGCCUUCCAUAUUUAA